AUCAAUAGCCUUCCAAAAUGAUUUUCCUCCUUUCUGUAGUUGUCUUAAGGAACAGAAUGGGAGCCUGUCUUAUGUCUGCCUGCCUUUGCCAAAGUUCAGCAACAGAUUGCUCUGUUUGCAUUAGGAAAGGAAUUAUGAAAGCAGCUGGAGCAGAGACUACAAGCAAUUUAAAAUGUAGGAUUUCACUGCUGUCUGCUAAUGUACAGUGGCUACGUGGAUGGGGAAGCUAAGAAAUUAUUUAGAAAGUUCAUUUUUUCCAGGCUUUUAACAGUUGCAAGUGGUACCUAACUGAACAAGAAGUCUACAGAUUAAGCCUCGCAUCAUCCCUGUUUUUUGCUGGAAUGCUCAUUGGAAAUAUCACAUUUGGCCCUUUGUCAGAUAAACUGGGCAGGAAACCAGUGUAUAUCUCAGAGUCUGGCCACAACCUUGAAAACAUCUGGCAAAAACAGAGCUCACUGAGAAAGCUCUUGCUGUCUACAACUUCAAUUGCACCCAUCGAUUUACCAGGUCCACCCUGCUAUCAGCACUUUCCUUUUCAGCUCUAGGUACCAUCCUAAGCCUUCAGUCUCCCAUAGUCAGAAUGGCACCAGGGACUGCUCACACACUGAAGGUCCCAGGACAAAAAGCUCAGCAGAAGCACCUGGGUCUGAUGGCACACUUCUCAUCCAGCAGGGACCAGGACUUGGCCAGAUAAAAUAUCCUACAAGCAAUCCUAUUCAUGUCAGUUGUGCAAAUUUCUUGCAAUGAUACAUUUCUUGCAGAUGACUACACAAGGUUAGGUGAAGGUUUCUAAAGCAGCCAGUUUGGUGUGAAACAGCUGGCAGAAGUGUCUCAGUCAUCUGUUUUUAGGUAAGUAAUACUGCUGGUGUCAGUCACAUAAUGCCCAGGUUUCAUCUUCUAAGUCAGCUCUGGCUGAGGCCUGAGCAUCAGCACAUCUGAGUCACUUGGUUUGUUCAGCCUGGAAAACUGGAGAUUGAAGGGGAGACCUCAUUGAGGGGCACUGGAGGGGCAGGUACUGAUCUCUUCACUCUCAUGACCAGUAACAGGCCCCAGGGGACUGGCCUGAGCUGUGUCAGGCAGGAUUAGGUCAGGUUCCAGAAGGUUCUUACCCCAAAGGCUGUUCAGGCACUGCACAAGCUCCCAGGGCAGUGGUCACAGUACCAAGCCUGUCAGUAUUCAGGAAGUGUUUGGACAAGUCAGGCCCGGGGGGUCUGUCCUGGGGUGUCCUCUAGAGGGCCACAAGAUGGACUUGAUGAUCCUGCUGGGUCCUUCAACUCAGGAUAUUCUGUGAUGCUAUGUGCACUGAAUGAUUAUCUCCAGCUGGCUUGCACUGGCACUCAGAGCUUGGCUAUAAUUGCUUCCAAUUUAUUUCUACAGUCAAGCCCAGGGCAUUGAUAGACUGAUCAAACACAAAGGGUUUGAAGAAAAUAUCCCUUUUUAGGUGACAGUGUCCAAGGCCAGGUUGGAUGGGGCCCUGAGCAGCCUGAUUUAGUGAGUGGCAUCACUUCCUCUGGGAGGGAUGUGGGAACCAUGUGAUCCUGAGGGUUCCUUCCCAGCCAAGCCUUUCUGGAAUUCCAUCAUUACUUUAUGGGUCACUGAGAACAAAUGGGAUCCACCAAAUACUGAAGAAGUUGGCCUGCAUUCUAAAAAGAGAUUCCUCAAAAUACCAAUGGGACUUGAACUAAGAAAGAGAAAUGCCAAGAAAGAAGCCAACCACUUCUUCAAAAUACCUGUAUUUAUUACACCAAAACUCAAAGUCCAAGCAGUUCACAUACUUCUUUUCCUUCUAGGUCAUCCCACAUGUGACAAGACAAAAAUGUAUGUAUCCAAACAAAACCACAAAAUCAAAUACAAAUCAAAAUCAAUAAAGGUACGUCCAUACAAAACUCACAUGGUUUUUAAAUGCAACAGAAGUGGCAUACACAGAUUAACAGGUACAAAAAGACUGAUGCAUAAAAUAAAAGCUAGCAUUUUAUGUUUCUUGUGCCUGAUGAAAUGUAGAACAUCUCACUAGCAAUAACAUGGAGGGAAUACAACACAGCAGUGUUAACUCAGAUUGCAGCUCUUAUUUACAGAAUUUAGAUGGUAACAUUACAGAAUAUCCUUUCUUUCAUAAAGAAAAAGUAUUUUUUAUUUUUCAUUAAAAAUACCUUAUAAAAGCUGGA